CAGUAGCCACGGUAAUACGUAGGGUGCAAGCGUUGUCCGGAAUUAUUGGGCGUAAAGAGCGUGUAGGCGGCCCCAUUAGUCCGCUGUGAAAGUCCAGGGCUCAACCCUGGAAUGCCGGUGGAUACUGUGGGGCUAGAGUCCGGAAGGGACGAGUGGAAUUCCUGGUGUAGCGGUGAAAUGCGCAGAUAUCAGGAGGAACACCAAUGGCGAAGGCAGCUCGCUGGGACGUGACUGACGCUGAGACGCGAGAGCGUGGGGAGCAAACAGGAUUAGAUACCCCUGUAGUCCCUGUCUCUUAUAC
rnacentral:rRNA from 1 species